rnacentral:rRNA from 1 species
UACGAAGGGGGCGAGCGUUGUUCGGAUUUACUGGGCGUAAAGGGCGCGUAGGCGGAAUGGCAAGUCGGUCGUGAAAUCCUUCGGCUCAACCGAAGAACGUCGAUCGAAACUGCCGUUCUUGAGGAUUGCAGAGGAGACUGGAAUUCCCGGUGUAGCGGUGAAAUGUGUAGAGAUCGGGAGGAACACCGGUGGCGAAGGCGGGUCUCUGGGCCUUACCUGACGCUGAGGCGCGAAAGCUAGGGGAGCGAACAGG